CAGAGGGUGCAAGCGUUAAUCGGAUUUACUGGGCGUAAAGACGCGCGUAGGUGGCCAAUUAAGUCAAAUAGUGAAAUCCCCGACGCUUAACUUGGGAAUUGCAUUCGAUACUGGUUGGCUAGAGUAUGGGAGAGGAUGGUAGAAUUCCAGGUGUAGCGGUGAAAUGCGUAGAGAUCUGGAGGAAUACCGAUGGCGAAGGCAGCCAUCUGGCCUAAUACUGACACUGAGGUGCGAAAGCAUGGGGAGCAAACAGGAUU
rnacentral:rRNA from 1 species